rnacentral:rRNA from 1 species
AUUGAACGCUGGCGGCAGGCCUAACACAUGCAAGUCGAGCGGAUGGAGGGAGCUUGCUCCUGGAUUCAGCGGCGGACGGGUGAGUAAUGCCUAGGAAUCUGCCUGGUAGUGGGGGAUAACGUCCGGAAACGGGCGCUAAUACCGCAUACGUCCUGAGGGAGAAAGUGGGGGAUCUUCGGACCUCACGCUAUCAGAUGAGCCUAGGUCGGAUUAGCUAGUUGGUGGGGUAAAGGCCUACCAAGGCGACGAUCCGUAACUGGUCCGAGAGGAUGAUCAGUCACACUGGAACUGAGACACGGUCCAGACUCCUACGGGAGGCAGCAGUGGGGAAUAUUGGACAAUGGGCGAAAGCCUGAUCCAGCCAUGCCGCGUGUGUGAAGAAGGUCUUCGGAUUGUAAAGCACUUUAAGUUGGGAGGAAGGGCAGUAAGUUAAUACCUUGCUGUUUUGACGUUACCAACAGAAUAAGCACCGGCUAACCUCGUG